UGCUCAUACCGCCGCGUCUGACUCCGAUCCGGCAGAUAAGGCCGGUGAAGUCCUCCUUGACUACGUUGCUGGCCAACCCCAACUUGCUGUUGACACCAGUUACAAGCCUGAGUAGAACUUUCAAGCCUUUACUCUGAUUUUGGUGGAGUUACAUCAUCAACAUCAACAUCCUUGAUCACAUCAUCCAGAUCCUUCAUGGCAACUGAAAUAUCAUCUUGUUUGAUCUUUCCUUUUUCUUUUAGCUUAUAUAAGAUCAUAUCAGCAGCCCUGUCAAAAAUAAAUUAAUAAGCAAAUGUUACUUUGUGUUAUUGAAGUGAUUUUAUGGGGAAUUCUUUCAGCAAUUAAGUAAAUCUUACCCAUAAA